ensembl:lncRNA
UGGAUUUAUUCGUUUUUGUUUGUGAGACUGUUGAUGAUAUGCAGCUACCAUGGAAUAAGGGGAUCAUUACUGAUGGUGCACCUGCCAUGGCUGGUGAGCGAGGCGGAUUGUCCACACCGAGUUCCAAUAAAGUCAGCGAAGAAGCAGCAUGUCUUUAUCCUGUUUUUCUUCUUUCACCCCAACCGGUCGCAGCAGAUGGCCGCCCCUCCCUGAGCCUGGUUCUGCCGGAGGUUUCUUCCUGUUAAAAGGGAGUUUUUCCUUCCCACUGUCGCCAAAGUGCUUGCUCAUAGGGGGUCAUAUGAUUGUUGGUUUUUCUCUGUAUGUAUUAUUGUAGGGUCUACCUUACAAUAUGAAGCACCUUAAGGUGACUGU